rnacentral:rRNA from 4 species
UUUUAUGGAGAGUUUGAUCCUGGCUCAGGAUGAACGCUGGCGGCGUGCCUAAUACAUGCAAGUCGAGCGA